UACGAAGGGGGCUAGCGUUGUUCGGAUUUACUGGGCGUAAAGCGCACGUAGGCGGCUUUGUAAGUUAGAGGUGAAAGCCCGGGGCUCAACCCCGGAAUUGCCUUUAAGACUGCAUCGCUUGAAUUGUGGAGAGGUAAGUGGAAUUCCGAGUGUAGAGGUGAAAUUCGUAGAUAUUCGGAAGAACUCCAGUGGCGAAGGCGACUUACUGGACACAUAUUGACGCUGAGGUGCGAAAGCGUGGGGAGCAAACAGG
rnacentral:rRNA from 1 species